ACGGGACUAGCAGCAACAAGAGACGUGGUUGAGGCGACGGCCACUGGAAGCAACUGACGUAACCACAGAGAGAAAAUAUCGUCCGCAACUUCCGUUCCUGCCACCGAACCAUCCACCGUACUGUACAAUAGGAUCACCAAGGCAACCAGGGCCAGGAACGUCCACUAACGACCAACUGCUGAAACAGCUUCACAUCUACAUCUGCAUGUCCGAACUGCUGGUGCACCAGGUGUGGAUGUGUACGUCUGAGCAAGUCUUUUUCAAAGAACAAGGGGAUAUUGUUCGUUCGUUCCGGAGUGAAAGCAUGCAGACACUCAACCUGUCGAGACCACGCUGGGCUGUGUCGAGCUCUGAGCUGGAAAAUGCUGGUUGCCUCCCUGCAGUUUUGGACCCGUCUAAAGAGGUGGUUCUCAAACAUUUUCAUGACACAGAA